rnacentral:rRNA from 1 species
UACGUAGGGCGCAAGCGUUGUCCGGAAUUAUUGGGCGUAAAGAGCUCGUAGGCGGUCUGUUGCGUCCGCUGUGAAAACUCGGGGCUUAACCCCGAGCCUGCAGUGGAUACGGGCAGACUAGAGGUAGGUAGGGGAGAAUGGAAUUCCCGGUGUAGCGGUGAAAUGCGCAGAUAUCAGGAGGAACACCGGUGGCGAAGGCGGUUCUCUGGGCAUGUCCUGACGCUGAGGAGCGAAAGUGUGGGGAGCGAACAGG